rnacentral:rRNA from 1 species
UGAGCAAUCUGCCCUUCUCAUCGGAAUAAGCGUUGGAAACGACGUCUAAUGCCGAAUACGACCUCCUUUCGCAUGAUCGGAGGUGGAAAGCUCCGGCGAAGAAGGAUGAGCUCGCGGCCUAUCAGCUUGUUGGUGGGGUAACGGCCUACCAAGGCGACGAUGGGUAGCUGGUCUGAGAGGACGAUCAGCCACACUGGGACUGAGACACGGCCCAGACCUNUACAGGG